rnacentral:lncRNA from 1 species
UGGGCAGGGUGGACGAAGGCUCACUGUGAUGUCUUUUUUAGGCACAAGUUGCCAUAAACAUUUUGAAUCAAUUCAGGACGUCGAAGCAGCACUAAAAAGACACCAAGAGGACUGCACACCUGCUUCAGAAGGUGGUAAGAAUGAUGGGGCUCCUCAUCAACUGAGAACACAGUGAAAACACCCUGUGAAGUUUGCCAGGCAAUCUGAAGCGGCAUCUGUCCCUCCCUCCCCGACUCUGACCCGGAAAGAGGAAGAGAGCUUGAGAACCCUUUGGACUUGGUUUCAAGCCAAGCUUUGAUACGUACAUCGCAAACAUGUAAGUUACUCAAACUUUCUGGCUGUAUUUUGUCUUCUCUGAGAUGAAUAUAG